AUGAAAAACUCUCUGCUAGAAAUAAAGAGACGUGUUUGUUCAGAGUGGCCUCUCUGUUAUUAUCUUGUUUCAGAAAGUUAAAUACAUCGUCUCAUAUGAGCUGAGACACAUGGAUCUGUCCAAGAGCAGUCCAAGUUUAUACACAGGCUGUUCAUUUUAUAUUUUUAUCCUGACAUUAGAACCUUGUUUUCAGGUAGACAGUUUGUUUCCCAACUGAUGGAAACACUUCAUUUCACAAUCAGAUAAAUAAAUCAAACAUUUCAUCAUUUCUCUUCCAGGCUGUGUGAGUGUAAUCUGAGAGAGGAAAGCUGUAGAGUUCUGUCCUCAGUUCUCAGCUCAAACUCUUCCAGUCUGAGAGAACUGGACCUGAGUGGAAAUAAACUGCAGGAUUCAGGAGUGAAGCUGCUCUCUGCUGGACUGGAGAAUCCACACUGUACACUGGAGAUACUGAGCCUGCGUUUGUGUGAUCUGACAGAGGAAAGCUGUAGAGUUCUGCCCUCAGUUCUCAGCUCAAACUCCUCCAGUCUGAGAGAACUGAACCUGAGUGACAAUAACCUGCGGGAUUCAGGAGUGAAGCUGCUCUCUGCUGGACUGGAGAAUCCACACUGUACACUGGAGACACUGAGGAUGCGUUACUGCAGUAUUACAGAUGAAGGUUGUGCUGCUUUGGCUUCAGCUCUGAGGUCAAACUCCUCAUCACACCUGAGAGAACUGGAUCUAAAUGGUAAUAAUCCAGGAGAAUCAGGAGUGAAGCUGCUCUCUGAUCUACUGAAGGAUCCACACUGUAAACUGGAGACACUACACAUUAAGAAUGAUAAAUUCACCAGGACUGGCGUAUGACAGAAGUCUCACCUCAAACCUCUUUUCCAGGAUAAAGCAGUUUUGGUGAAGCGUUAAAACCCGUCCCACAUUUCCAGCAGUUUGGGAGCUAAAUCAUUCAUAUUCAGAUGUAGAAGUUCCAUAACAAUAACCGGGACUGAUCACAUCCUUUUAUCCACUCAGCUACAAGUUACUUCAAGCUUUAAUAACAUAUUUUACAAUCCAAAGUCAAAUCCUUCAGCGUCUACACACAACACAGAGAUAUCAUCACAUCAUCACACUAAUUACACAAAUACACAUCCAUGUGUUAUAGCUGUUUAUAGCUUAUUUUUAGCUCCUUAUUUUUAUCUAUUUAUUCAGUGUGUUUCUGCUCAACUUGUAUUCGUUCAGUUUGUUGUAACGUGACAGAUUAUUGAUGCACAGUUGUAAUACUGAUUUACUCCUUUUUUUAUUAAAAAAAUUUGUUUGUUGUUUGGUAAUUUGUUUUAAUUGUAACCAUGGUAGUUUGACGAGUUAAGAUUUUUCGAUUUUUAAACUAAAAAAAUGUAUAUGCACUAUAUGCACUAUAUGCACUUUAUACACUUUAACUAUAUGCACUGUACGUAUUCCUGUCAUUUGACACACCUUUGUAUAUAUGUUGUGUGUAUGUGAUUUAUGCUAUGUGUAGUACAAAAUAAACAGUGA